GUCGCCAAGUGAGGGCCGGGGCUGCCCUGCAGAGCGUCUCCGCGGAGCCCUGGGGACCGCUCCUCUCCUGCAAACAUGAUUCAGAACCGCGCGUCAGCCUUGGCUCCAUCGCCUGGCUCGAGCGAGCGGGUCUUGGCUGCCUCGGCCCCGUCUGAACCCUGCGGGCCGUGGGCCAGGGCGGGCCAAGAGCCGCCGCGCCAGGACCCUCCCCUGACGCCAGGACCCUGCAGACCCGGCCGCAGCCGCGCAGAGUGCCUCCCGCCGGGGCCUCGCGCCCAGGGUCCACGCUUGCCACGCCAGGGCUGCACGGCGGGGUCCGCAGCUGGGUCUGAGCCUGGGACUUAGGGCUCCCUGCGCUCCGUGUGCAGCACCCCGCGCCUUCACCCCAAGCGAACGGGUCCUGGGGCUUCACCGGCAAGGCCAGAGCCCCAGCCCUACUGCUCCCCACCCCCGCACUGCCCCUGUGCGCUGGGAAGGGAGUCAGGGACAGGGGCCGAAGAAAGGAGACCUGCCGGCCCCCCCCAGGCUCCAGCCGCUUGAGGUUCCUGAUAUGUGCAGCUGUGUGGCGCCCCGCUUCCAGCAUGUUCUUGGCCACAUUCUGCUGAUGGAGAAAUGGGAUCUCAUCCAGGGAAAGUGAUUUGCCAAGGUUACACCACUGGGCCAGGGGUCUUGACUGCUAUUUCCUGUCCUUAUUUGGUGGAGUUGAAGGAAGGUCAGGAGCUCAAGCAGCAGGUGAAGUGCCGCCAGAAGAGAUGGUGGCAGCAGAAACAAGGGCAGCUCUCCACGCUGGGAGAAUGGCCCCAGAACAAGGUAAGGCAGCUGGGUUGGUCUGCUUUCUUCCUUUGCUGGACUCCUUUUCCUACAAACCUGGUACCCUAUGCCCUCAGGGGAGAAGAACUGUUGCCUGCUAGGUUGGUGGCAGGAACCAGCUUCCUGAAGCACAUCAAUUCGCUGGAAGAAAGACCUUGGUCUUGUUCCGUGCUGUUUUCCCCUCUCUAA
rnacentral:lncRNA from 13 species